rnacentral:rRNA from 1 species
CAACAGGGAUUGCCUCAGUAACGGCGAGUGAAGCGGCAACAGCUCAAAUUUGAAAUCUGGCCUUCUGGUCCGAGUUGUAAUUUGUAGAGGAUGCUUCGGGUGCGGUGCCUUCCAAGUUCCCUGGAACGGGGCGCCAGAGAGGGUGAGAGCCCCGUCCGGUCGGCCGCCAAGCCUGUGUGAAGCUCCUUCGACGAGUCGAGUAGUUUGGGAAUGCUGCUCUAAACGGGAGGUAGACCCCUUCUAAAGCUAAAUACCGGCCAGAGACCGAUAGCGCACAAGUAGAGUGAUCGAAAGAUGAAAAGCACUUUGAAAAGAGGGUUAAACAGUACGUGAAAUUGUUGAAAGGGAAGCGCUUGUGACCAGACGUGCGGCGGGUGCUCAGCAGGCGUUCUCGCCUGUGCACUCGCCCGCCGCAGGCCAGCGUCGGUUCGGGAGGGGGGAUGAAGGCGUCGGGAACGUAGCUCCCCCGGGAGUGUUAUAGCCCGGCGUGUCAUGCCCCCGCCCGGACCAAGGUUCGCGUUCGCAAGGACGCUGGCGUAAUGGUCCUCAGCGGCCCGUCUUGAAACACGGACCCAGGACUCGAGGUUUAGCGCGAGUGUUUGGGUGUCAAACCCGCACGCGUAAUGAAAGUGAACGUAAGUGGGAGCUUCGGCGCUUACCGACCGAUCCUGAUGUUCUCGGAUGGAUUUGAGUAGGAUCGAGGGCCUCGGACCCGAAAGAUGGUGAACUAUACGUGGAUAGGGUGAAGCCAGAGGAAACUCUGGUGGAGGCUCGCAGCGGCUCUGACGUGCAUAUCACGAUCGUCAAAUCUGCGUAUGGGGCGAAAGAUAAUGAAAGCAUCUAGAAACUGGUUACUGCUGAGUUUCCCCUCAGGAUUCCCUCAGGAA